CAUCAUUAAAAGCUUUAAAUAAUUGUUAACCCAAAUAAAACUUAACUUUUGUUCCUUAUCUUCAACACAUUAUACUAAAGCCAUUAUAUACUCAACACGUCUCAUAAGUAAAAUCUGAACUACAGAGAUCAGAAUAAAGGACAGAGAGGAGAGAGAAUAAAGGAAUAGAGCAGAUCUCUCCCUCUCAGUCUCUAUUUAAGCCUCUAGAGGGCGGUCUAUGCAAAGUCUCCCUCCCCUUCAUCCCUUUAUAAUCACAAACUCAUCUCCGGCCUUCUCAUUAUAGGCAGCUUGGACUGACAUUACAAGUCCUGUACUAACUAAUACUGAACAAUGGAGCUUCUGACUGUCUGGAGUUUAGUUGUCAUGGUGAUGUCCAUACACAGUGUUUGCUGUGAUGAGAUGGAUCAGUCUCCUUCUCAGGUGAAAAGACCUGGAGACAAGUUUAAAUUGUCAUGUAAAAUCUCUGGGUUUGAUAUGACAAACUAUUACAUGCACUGGAUAAGACAGAAACCAGGCAAAGCUCUGGAGUGGAUUGGGGUUAUUAACUCUGGUUCAACAGAUGCUCCAGUCUACUCAGACUCCCUGAAAGGCCAGUUCACCCUGACCGAGGACGUCUCUACAAGCACACAGUUCUUAGAGGCCAAGAGUCUGAGUUCAGAGGACUCUGCUGUUUAUUAUUGUGCUCGAGAGACACACUGACUGAAGCUGUUGAAGCAGCUGUACAAAAACAACCCUAACAAAAAGGCUAGCUGGUGUACCGCUUCCUCUCUUUGUGUCACACUAUAAUAAUACUGAGUAUCAUUACUGUAAAUAAAACAUCAACAAUAUCACAAAGCACUACACAAUAAAAGACUCCAACCUCUAACAUUCAAACUUCAUAAAAAUCCGAUCUCUUGCCCAGUCUUUCUUCAAGUUUGAAAUGCUCUCUUUUUAUCAACAGGUGUUCAGGGUCAGACACUGACUGAGUCUGGACCACACAUACUGACCUGUACAGCCUCUGAUUUAGACAAGAAUAGCCACUGGAUGGCUUGGAUCAGAC